UGAGUUGUGUUUCACUCUUUUUGCAUGUAUGGUAUUGCUUAUAUGACCUACCAGUUGAGAGAUGGUGCUAGAGAUUGGUGGAGGUUGCUCUUGAGCUGUAGACCCCGUGAUUCUCUUAAGAUAACUUGGGAUUAGUUUGUUGAUGCCUUCGUGGAGAGAUUUGUGCCUUUCAAUUUGAGAGAUACUAUGUGGAAUAAAUUUGAUCAUUUGGAGCAGGGAUCCAUGAUAGUUGUUGAGUAUGAGGCACGCUUCCUUGCCUUGUCCAGAUAUUCCUAUGAUAGCAUUUUCACCGAGUCAGAGAAAGUUUGAAAGUUUGUGAAGGGUUUAGAUAUUUUCUCUUCAGUUGUCUACAUCUCAAAUGGUUGUGUUUGGGACUUCUUUAUAGAGUAUUAUGGAUAAUGCUAAGAUAACAGUGGAUAUUCUUACCGCAUCUUAGGGAGAUGCUAAGAAGGUGCAAUAUUUUGGUGAGUUCAGGAUUCAGACCUAUCGAGGCAGAGAUUUUAAAAGUUCUCUUAGAUACCAUGAUAGUCCAGUGAAAUCGGAUUUAUAGAGUUCAUGUGGUGGACCUUCUAGUUCAACAGUUCAGGGUGACCGUUCCAGCCCAGUUGUGCCUUCUCCUAUUGAGACUGAUCGUAGAGGUUGCUAUGUGUGUGAUGGGAUUUUUCAUAUGUCCAGGGAAUAUCCCUGCUAAGCUAGAAGAGGAGGCGUCUGAUGUUGUGAUCACAGCUUUAGGUUUGGGUGCGCCUCAGACUGGUUGAUUUCGGGCACCUUCAGGUUUCUCAAGAUAACGGUUGGAUAUUCCUGCGUCCGGAGUUCACCUCUAUCUUUUUGUAUUAGUUAUGUCUUUAUUAGUAUUCGGAGACAGAUAUUUUCCUUUGUAGUUAUUUUUCUAAUGUAUUUGACUCCGAAAUUGUAUUAGUAGUUUUUAUAUUGUUGACACAAGGAUUUAGAGUUAUGGCUGCAUGUAUUGAUUUUAUUCUUUUUGCUUUUAUUAUGUCUAUGUGGUUUGGCUUCGUUCUAGAAGCCUUAUCUUGAGGGUA